rnacentral:rRNA from 1 species
GAUGAACGCUGGCGGCGUGCCUAAUACAUGCAAGUCGAGCGAACAGACGAGGAGCUUGCUCCUCUGACGUUAGCGGCGGACGGGUGAGUAACACGUGGAUAACCUACCUAUAAGACUGGGAUAACUUCGGGAAACCGGAGCUAAUACCGGAUAAUAUAUUGAACCGCAUGGUUCAAUAGUGAAAGACGGUUUUGCUGUCACUUAUAGAUGGAUCCGCGCCGCAUUAGCUAGUUGGUAAGGUAACGGCUUACCAAGGCAACGAUGCGUAGCCGACCUGAGAGGGUGAUCGGCCAAACUGGAAAUGAGAACCGGUCCCGGCCUCUAAGGGAGGCAGCAGUAGGGAAUCCUUCGCCAUGGGGCAAAGCCUGACGGAGGCAAGGCGGGUGAGUGAUGAAGGUUUUCGGAUCGUUAAACCUUGUUAUUAGGGAAGAAAAAAUGUGUAAGUAACUAUGCAAGUUUUGAAGGUAACUAAUCAGAAAGCCACGGCUAAAUACGUG